rnacentral:rRNA from 1 species
GAUGAACGCUGACAGAAUGCUUAACACAUGCAAGUCUUUGGCGAAUCUGUGCUUGCACAGGCUAGCCAAGGCGGACGGGUGAGUAACGCGUAAAGAACUUGCCCUGCAGACAGGGAUAACAGACGGAAACGACUGAUAACACCUGAUACAGUUGCCGGCACGCAUGUGCCUGGCAAUGAAAAGAGAUGCUGCAGGAGAGCUUUGCGUCCUAUUAGCUUGUUGGUGAGGUGACGGCUCACCAAGGCGAUGAUAGGUAGCCGGCCUGAGAGGGUGAACGGCCACAAGGGGACUGAGAUACGGCCCUUACUCCUACGGGAGGCAGCAGUGGGGAAUAUUGGACAAUGGGGGCAAGCCUGAUCCAGCAAUUCUGUGUGCACGAAGAAGGUUUUCGGAUUGUAAAGUGCUUUCAGCAGGGAAGAAGAAAGUGACGGUACCUGCAGAAGAAGCGACGGCUAAAUACGUG